GCAGUAUGAAAGAGGACCUUCCCAAUUGCUGAAAGGCGUAGGCAUGCGUUUGUUGAAAUUCACCAACUGGGUCUCUCUCUUCUUUUUGGGUUUUGCUUUCGUCUGCUACUUCUACACUUCUCAAUUCUCUUCUCCUCGAAUUAUGGCUGAAGAAAGUUCCAAAUCUAUUUACGACUUCACUGUCAAGGAUAUUCAUGGUAACGACGUAAAUCUGAGUGAAUACAGUGGGAAGGUUCUUCUGAUUGUGAAUGUUGCUUCAAAAUGUGGUUUAACACAAUCCAACUACAAGGAAUUAAGUGUUUUGUAUGAAAAGUACAAAAACAAAGGUUUUGAGAUUUUGGCAUUUCCUUGCAACCAGUUUGGAGGACAAGAGCCGGGAAACAAUGAGGAGAUUCAAGAAGUUGCAUGCACUAGAUUUAAAGCUGAAUUUCCAAUCUUUGACAAGAUUGAGGUGAAUGGGAAGAACGAGGCACCCCUGUACAAAUUCUUAAAGGGACAGAAAGGUGGGGUCUUUGGGAGUGGCAUCAAAUGGAACUUUACGAAGUUUCUCGUUAACAAAGAAGGGAAGGUUGUGGAGAGAUAUGCUCCUGUGACAUCACCUCUUAAAAUUGAGAAAGACAUCCAGAAUCUGUUGGAAUCUUCUUGAGUAUCAAGAUGGCGCUACACCGCAGUGGCGGAAAGCAAUAAUGCCUAUGCACCCUGGACAGCAGGAAGUGUAUGGUUUGACCUCACAGAAAAUAAAAAUUGUUUGCAGUAACAGAUGAAGAAAAUGAUCGAAGCAUAAUCGAUUGAUAUGUAAAGUUUGAUUGGACUCCAAACGACCUAUAUUUUUUUAUUGUUCUUAUUGUUAUGAAUGAGUAGGUGGAUACUUGUUCAAGGUUGUGCGUGUGGAACAAGGGGAAGCCUAUUCGAACCUGUAUCUGUACUAUAUGAACAUCGAUAUUCUAUCAUCAAUAAUCAAAACAGCCUAUUAUUUACAUAAA